GAUGAACGCUGGCGGCGUGCCUAACACAUGCAAGUCGAACGGAGCUGCUUUGAUGAAGUUUUCGGAUGGAUUUAAAACAGCUUAGUGGCGGACGGGUGAGUAACGCGUGGGUAACCUGCCUCACACUGGGGGAUAACAGUUAGAAAUAGCUGCUAAUACCGCAUAAGCGCACAGUUCCGCAUGGAACAGUGUGAAAAACUCCGGUGGUGUGAGAUGGACCCGCGUCUGAUUAGCCAGUUGCGGGGUAACGGCCCACCAAAGCGACGAUCAGUAGCCGGCCUGAGAGGGGUGAAACGGCCACAUUGGGACUGAGACACGGCCC
rnacentral:rRNA from 1 species